GGGGUCCCACUGGGACUUGGUGCUGACAUGAGGCCCGCAUGACGUGGCACAGGCAAAGCUCCUAGCACGGUUGUGGGUCUUUAAUAAAUGCCCAUUUCUGUCUUCUGUUUUUUUCCUUUUCCAAGUUUUAAUUUUAAAAUAGAUGUUUUGAAGACAGACCAGCAGAUUGUCAAGCAGGCAGGACUUCAGGGACAGUCUGAGCUGCUUUUUGGUGACUUGCAAGAUCUACAGACGGUGGCACUGCUUAGAGAGUGGAGUUCUAGACAGCAGUUAAAUGGAGUGAAUUGCCCUUUAGUGUAGACGAAUCUCCAACACCAGAUGGAGGGGAAAGAAGGAAGUUACAAAAAGAAAAGUGCAGCAAGAGGCCAGGCGUGGUGGUGCAUGCAUGUAAUGUCAGCACUUUGGGAGGCCGAGGGGGGAGAAUUGCUUGAGCCCAGGAGUUUGAGAGCAGCCUGAACAACACAAUAAGACCCA
rnacentral:lncRNA from 1 species